GGGUUGUGAGGUUAAGCGACUAAGCGUACACGGUGGAUGCCCUGGCAGUCAGAGGCGAUGAAGGACGUGCUAAUCUGCGAUAAGCGUCGGUAAGGUGAUAUGAACCGUUAUAACCGGCGAUUUCCGAAUGGGGAAACCCAGUGUGAUUCGUCACACUAUCAUUAACUGAAUCCAUAGGUUAAUGAGGCGAACCGGGGGAACUGAAACAUCUAAGUACCCCGAGGAAAAGAAAUCAACCGAGAUUCCCCCAGUAGCGGCGAGCGAACGGGGAGCAGCCCAGAGCCUGAAUCAGUGUGUGUGUUAGUGGAAGCGUCUGGAAAGGCGCGCGAUACAGGGUGACAGCCCCGUACACAAAAAUGCACAUACUGUGAGCUCGAUGAGUAGGGCGGGACACGUGGUAUCCUGUCUGAAUAUGGGGGGACCAUCCUCCAAGGCUAAAUACUCCUGACUGACCGAUAGUGAACCAGUACCGUGAGGGAAAGGCGAAAAGAACCCCGGCGAGGGGAGUGAAAAAGAACCUGAAACCGUGUACGUACAAGCAGUGGGAGCACGCUUAGGCGUGUGACUGCGUACCUUUUGUAUAAUGGGUCAGCGACUUAUAUUCUGUAGCAAGGUUAACCGAAUAGGGGAGCCGAAGGGAAACCGAGUCUUAACUGGGCGUUAAGUUGCAGGGUAUAGACCCGAAACCCGGUGAUCUAGCCAUGGGCAGGUUGAAGGUUGGGUAACACUAACUGGAGGACCGAACCGACUAAUGUUGAAAAAUUAGCGGAUGACUUGUGGCUGGGGGUGAAAGGCCAAUCAAACCGGGAGAUAGCUGGUUCUCCCCGAAAGCUAUUUAGGUAGCGCCUCGUGAAUUCAUCUCCGGGGGUAGAGCACUGUUUCGGCAAGGGGGUCAUCCCGACUUACCAACCCGAUGCAAACUGCGAAUACCGGAGAAUGUUAUCACGGGAGACACACGGCGGGUGCUAACGUCCGUCGUGAAGAGGGAAACAACCCAGACCGCCAGCUAAGGUCCCAAAGUCAUGGUUAAGUGGGAAACGAUGUGGGAAGGCCCAGACAGCCAGGAUGUUGGCUUAGAAGCAGCCAUCAUUUAAAGAAAGCGUAAUAGCUCACUGGUCGAGUCGGCCUGCGCGGAAGAUGUAACGGGGCUAAACCAUGCACCGAAGCUGCGGCAGCGACGCUGAUGCGUUGUUGGGUAGGGGAGCGUUCUGUAAGCCUGUGAAGGUGUGCUGUGAGGCAUGCUGGAGGUAUCAGAAGUGCGAAUGCUGACAUAAGUAACGAUAAAGCGGGUGAAAAGCCCGCUCGCCGGAAGACCAAGGGUUCCUGUCCAACGUUAAUCGGGGCAGGGUGAGUCGACCCCUAAGGCGAGGCCGAAAGGCGUAGUCGAUGGGAAACAGGUUAAUAUUCCUGUACUUGGUGUUACUGCGAAGGGGGGACGGAGAAGGCUAUGUUGGCCGGGCGACGGUUGUCCCGGUUUAAGCGUGUAGGCUGGUUUUCCAGGCAAAUCCGGAAAAUCAAGGCUGAGGCGUGAUGACGAGGCACUACGGUGCUGAAGCAACAAAUGCCCUGCUUCCAGGAAAAGCCUCUAAGCAUCAGGUAACAUCAAAUCGUACCCCAAACCGACACAGGUGGUCAGGUAGAGAAUACCAAGGCGCUUGAGAGAACUCGGGUGAAGGAACUAGGCAAAAUGGUGCCGUAACUUCGGGAGAAGGCACGCUGAUAUGUAGGUGAAGCGACUUGCUCGUGGAGCUGAAAUCAGUCGAAGAUACCAGCUGGCUGCAACUGUUUAUUAAAAACACAGCACUGUGCAAACACGAAAGUGGACGUAUACGGUGUGACGCCUGCCCGGUGCCGGAAGGUUAAUUGAUGGGGUCAGCGCAAGCGAAGCUCUUGAUCGAAGCCCCGGUAAACGGCGGCCGUAACUAUAACGGUCCUAAGGUAGCGAAAUUCCUUGUCGGGUAAGUUCCGACCUGCACGAAUGGCGUAAUGAUGGCCAGGCUGUCUCCACCCGAGACUCAGUGAAAUUGAACUCGCUGUGAAGAUGCAGUGUACCCGCGGCAAGACGGAAAGACCCCGUGAACCUUUACUAUAGCUUGACACUGAACAUUGAGCCUUGAUGUGUAGGAUAGGUGGGAGGCUUUGAAGUGUGG
rnacentral:rRNA from 1 species